GCACUGGCCAGGAUGGAGCUCUGUAAUUACAGAGAACUUUCCGUACGGUCUGGGUUGCUCCUGGUCUGGCUGAUCCUGCAGGACACAGCCCUCUGUGCUUCCCAUGCCUGACCCGAAAGGGUGGUGGACACCUUCCUUCGUCUCCUGGAAGUGGUCCCAGGAGUGUGCUUGUUCCUGCACCAUCCUUAGGAGCAGCCUGUGAGAGACAUGGAAGCCUGAUGAGGAUCACUCUGACAGCAUGACAGAGGACACCACCAGGGAGGUCUGUCCAAGGAACUGGCUAUUCCUGAUGUGACCAAGAAAGGCUCAUCAAAUACAGACAGAAGAGGAGAGGGAAGGAAAUCUCAGUUCCAUUGAAGCUGCAGCCAAAUCUCCCAUCAGUUCCUCUGGGGCCACAAUCUCACCUAAGCUGCAUAACACGCUUUAAAAUGCUACUGGCCUGAUAAUUACACAAAAUAGAGCCCACAUUUCUGUUUCAGGACAGAGAAGAGGGGAACCUAACACACAUUUGUCUGAUCCUAUGAGGCAUUUACCAGUAGCAUGUACUUGGCACAAGAUCUGAUAUAUGAACUGAAUAAAUAAUAAAAUAGUCUGUGUUUC